ACGCUAGCUACAGGCUUAACACAUGCAAGUCGAGGGGAAACGGCAUUGAGUGCUUGCACUCUUUGGACGUCGACCGGCGCACGGGUGAGUAACGCGUAUCCAACCUUCCCAUUAUUGUGGGAUAACCUGCCGAAAGGCAGACUAAUGCCGCAUAGUCUUCGAUGACGGCAUCAGAUUUGAAGUAAAGAUUUAUCGGUAAUGGAUGGGGAUGCGUCUGAUUAGCUUGUUGGCGGGGUAACGGCCCACCAAGGCGACGAUCAGUAGGGGUUCUGAGAGGAAGGUCCCCCACAUUGGAACUGAGACACGGUCCAAACUCCUACGGGAGGCAGCAGUGAGGAAUAUUGGUCAAUGGACGGAAGUCUGAACCAGCCAAGUAGCGUGCAGGAUGACGGCCCUAUGGGUUGUAAACUGCUUUUGUAUGGGGAUAAAGUUAGGGACGUGUCCCUAUUUGCAGGUACCAUACGAAUAAGGACCGGCUAAUUCCGUGCCAGCAGCCGCGGUAAUACGGAAGGUCCAGGCGUUAUCCGGAUUUAUUGGGUUUAAAGGGAGCGUAGGCUGGAGAUUAAGUGUGUUGUGAAAUGUAGACGCUCAACGUCUGAAUUGCAGCGCAUACUGGUUUCCUUGAGUACGCACAACGUUGGCGGAAUUCGUCGUGUAGCGGUGAAAUGCUUAGAUAUGACGAAGAACUCCGAUUGCGAAGGCAGCUGACGGGAGCGCAACUGACGCUUAAGCUCGAAGGUGCGGGUAUCAAACAGGAUUAGAUACCCUGGUAGUCCGCACAGUAAACGAUGGAUGCCCGCUGUUGGUACCUGGUAUCAGCGGCUAAGCGAAAGCAUUAAGCAUCCCACCUGGGGAGUACGCCGGCAACGGUGAAACUCAAAGGAAUUGACGGGGGCCCGCACAAGCGG
rnacentral:rRNA from 1 species